UACGAAGGGGCUAGCGUUGUUCGGAAUCACUGGGCGUAAAGCGCACGUAGGCGGACUGUUAAGUCAGGGGUGAAAUCCUGGGGCUCAACCCCAGAACUGCCUUUGAUACUGGCGGUCUUGAGUGUGGAAGAGGUUGGUGGAACUCCGAGUGUAGAGGUGAAAUUCGUAGAUAUUCGGAAGAACACCAGUGGCGAAGGCGGCCAACUGGUCCACUACUGACGCUGAGGUGCGAAAGCGUGGGGAGCAACAGGAUUAAGAAACCC
rnacentral:rRNA from 1 species